CACCCGGUGGCACAAGGUGUGUGUCUGCUAGGCAUACGCCAACUACCAGAAGAAGUUUCAGCAGAAGGCCCGGUUCGAUUCCGGGUCGGGUGG